GGAAAAGAGGGGGGGGGAGGGGGGGUAAGGCGGAGGGGGUCAGCGGUGGCCGGAAUCAUGGGGCGUAAAGGGCGGGUAGGGGGGCCGGGAAGUCGGUUGUGCAAGUCAAAGGCUCAAGCUUGGAAAGCCGAUGGAUACUGCAGGGGUAGAGUCCGGAAGAGGCGAGUGGAAUUCCUGGUGUAGCGGUGGAAUGCGCAGAUAUCAGGAGGAACACCAAUAGCGAAGGCAGCUCGCUGGGACGGUACUGACGCUAAGGCGCGAAAGCGUGGGGAGCGAACAGGAUUAGAUACCCGGGUAGUC
rnacentral:rRNA from 1 species